UACGUAGGGGGCAAGCGUUGUCCGGAUUUACUGGGCGUAAAGCGCGCGCAGGCGGACGGGGAAGUCGGCUGCAAAAGCGCCCGGCUCAACUGGGCGUAGCCGGCCCGAGACUCCCGGUCGUGGAGGGCGGACAGGAGGCAGGUGGAAUUCCGGGUGGAGCGGUGAAAUGCGUAGAGAUCCGGAAGGAACACCGGUGGCGAAGGCGGCCUGCUGGGCCGACCCUGGACGCUGAAGGCGCGAAAGCGUGGGGAGCGAACCGGA
rnacentral:rRNA from 1 species